rnacentral:rRNA from 1 species
GUGGAUUAGAUACCCGAGUAGUCCACGCCGUAAACGAUGAGUGCUAAGUGUUAGAGGGUUUCCGCCCUUUAGUGCUGCAGCUAACGCAUUAAGCACUCCGCCUGGGGAGUACGGUCGCAAGACUGAAACUCAAAGGAAUUGACGGGGGCCCGCACAAGCGGUGGAGCAUGUGGUUUAAUUCGAAGCAACGCGAAGAACCUUACCAGGUCUUGACAUCCUCUGACAACUCUAGAGAUAGAGGGUUCCCCUUCGGGGGACAGAGUGACAGGUGGUGCACGGCCGUCGUCAACU